GCUGAGCUAGGUAGCGCUAGCUUGUAACUCUAGUGGGGGCAUUAAGGUGAUGGAACAUGUACUAUAGGACUGAGUGGUGAUCUGUGGCACAAAUUUGCUACCACUUCU
rnacentral:SRP_RNA from 1 species